AAUAUUGCGCAAUAGGGGAAACCCUGACGCAGCCACGCCGCGUGGAGGAUGACACCGUUAUGCGGCGUAAACUCCUUUUAUAUGAGAAGAAAACCCGGCUCGGUCGGGCAUGACGGUAUCAUAUGAAUAAGCACCGGCUAACUCCGUGCCAGCAGCCGCGGUAAUACGGAGGGUGCAAGCGUUGUCCGGAAUCACUGGGUGUAAAGGGUGUGUAGGCGGGAUUGUAAGUCAGAGGUGAAAUCCUACAGCUCAACUGUAGAACUGCCUUUGAUACUGCAAUUCUUGAGUUUCGGAGAGGUCAUUAGAAUUCGUGGUGUAGCGGUGAAAUGCGUAGAUAUCACGAGGAAUACCAGAGGCGUAGGCGGAUGACUGGACGAAUACUGACGCUGAGGCACGAAAGCGUGGGGAGCAAACAGGAUUAGAUACCCUGGUAGUCCACGCCGUA
rnacentral:rRNA from 1 species